GCGGCUAGACGGAAAGACCCCGUGAACCUUUACUAUAGCUUCACAUUGGUAUUGGGUAAAUGAUGUGUAGGAUAGCUGGGAGGCUUUGAAGCUGUGUCGCUAGGCAUGGUGGAGCCGUUGGUGAAAUACCAGCCUUUAUUUAUCUGAUGCCUAAUCCGACUAUGUCGGAGACAUUGUGUGGUGGGUAGUUUGACUGGGGUGGUCGCCUCCAAAAGAGUAACGGAGGCUUUCAAAGGUACCCUCAGUACGGUCGGUAACCGUGCGUAGAGCGCAAUAGCAUAAGGGUGCUUGACUGUGAGGCCAACAAGCCGAUCAGGUACGAAAGUAGGAUAUAGUGAUCCGGUAGUUCCGUAUGGAAGGGCUAUCGCUCAAAGGAUAAAAGGUACUCUGGGGAUAACAG
rnacentral:rRNA from 12 species